AGUUGAUCACAAGUUCGUUGGCGACAGAUAAGCAAGCAGCUCGGCCCAAAGCAAGACAAGACCUCUAAAACCUAUACCGUAAAAGCCAUUCAUAAAAAAUGAUUACAGAUAAAUUAUCUUUGGCGAUUCUUUGCUGCUUGGUUGUAUCCUUAACCAUAUCGAAAGCCAAACAACUACAAGGAAGUUCUCUCGAUGACCUUUUGGAGGCUGGCGUCGAUGCGGAAAGCCAGACGAUGAACAAGCGAGCUUGCUACGACAAAUUCCCAUACCUGUGUCGUCGCCCUGGUAGUGUAAUGAUCUGUAAUAACGCUAAGCAUAGAAGCCAUGCCUUCAUAAUGGAUGUCUGUAGACACACAUGUCACGAGUGCUGAGCACUCCAAAUCUUCUUCGCUUAAGAAUCACAGGAAUCGUAAACGCAACGUAAUCAACUUUAAAUGAACGUAACCCAGUUAUUCAGUAAUGAAAAAGUAUCUAAAAACCUAUUAGAAAUAAUAAAUGAUAAAACUGAGCUCAAAUAUGUACUUGUAUAGGAAUGAGAUUAAGAUCGAUCUGUAGAAGAGAUCAAUAAAAACAACAGUGCUCGAACAAA